rnacentral:misc_RNA from 1 species
AGGAGGUGCGGAAGAAGAAGAGGAAGAGGAGGAAGAGGAGGAAGGCAGAAGAGAAUCAAUCGAGAACAUAGUCGGGUCUGUCCAAAAUCGGCGGAAUAAUGUUUCUGCGUAUCGACAGGAUCGUGCGUUCGGGGAUCUUGUUUCUGUUGUGCAUCGAGUCGAGCUUUCAGCAGGAGGAAGAUAUACCCCAUAACGAAGUCAAAAACUGGGCCUUGAAGUUUGGAGUGGAUUUAUGGGAAUUUGGUAAGCAAGUGACCAAAAUGGGCGAAAUACAGAGGAAUUAUUAUAAGGUCGAGGCGAAUCUCAUUAAAAGGGACGGCUUGGUACUGGUCAGAGAAAUGGCUGCUGAAGUUAAAAAUAUGAUGGAUUUCAAAAUGAACGCUGUUAUGAGACUAAUGGAAAAUGCGGAACAGGCUGCAGUUUCGCCGCCAAGGGAUGCUAACAUUUUGCCUAAAUAUUCUUCCUAUCGUUAUAAUCUUUUUACGACUGAUGGCAAAAAGUCUUCCGAUUCUCGAGAAAUCUAUCUAAAUACGCAUCAUCAUUUCGAUUGGUUGGCAGUAAACGUUUCUUUAUCGUCCGUUCUCGUACCGGGUGAAAUUGAUGAAACAGAAAGCGACGUAGCUGCAGGCAUUCUAUGGAGCGAAUAUUUGGAUCCUCUUUUCAUCAAUAAUUAUGAAAGCGAUCCUUCCUUAUCGUGGCAGUACUAUGGUGCAACGUCAGGAUUUUUGAGACGUUUUCCUGCAAUAACGUGGCCACCGGUAGAAGGAGUAUUUGGUUCUAACCAAAAAGCACCCUUAGUCCUUUCGAAUCCUGUAUUCCGGCACGUGUACGACUUUAGGACUUCCAAUUGGUUCGUCGGUGCUGCCAAUAGUCCUAAAGAUUUAGCUAUUUUAAUCGACACUAUGGGAUAUGACAGCGAACGGAAUGAAAAAUUGCUAAUCGCUACGACCAAAGCUAUAUUGGAUACGUUAGGUCCUGACGAUUACGUCAACGUUUAUCGAUACGGCGAGACAGCUGAGGAAAUCGUUCAGUGUUUCAAGGAUAGUCUGGUUCAAGCUUCGCCAGAAAACAUACAGGAACUCAAGUCAGCUAUGAAUACAUUGAAACACGAGGAAAGUACUAAGAACAUAUCCGCGGCCUUGAGUACGGCCUUUGAAAUCCUUCACAAGUACAACAGAACCGGUCAGGGCAGUCAAUGUAAUCAAGCGAUCAUCUUGAUAACAACCGACAACGAAGCUCCUCCUACGGAAGUGAUCAGAAGGUAUAACUGGCCACACAUGCCAGUUAGAUUAUUUGCUUACCUUAUUGGCGGUGACAAGAGUCCGGAACUCUUUGACAUGGCUUGCACCAACAAAGGAUAUUACGCGAGAAUUACUAAACCGGAAGAGAUUAAAAGUAAAGUUUUCGAAUAUGUUAAAGUACUUGCACGGCCUAUGGUGCUUUAUCAGCACGAUCAUCCUAUACAUUGGAGUCCGGCUUACAUUGGCGGAAAAAGUAAAAGAUUCGGUAGAGAAAAUCACGGACAAUUGAUGACAUCCGUCACUGCUCCGAUUUUGGAUCGUCGAAAUCAUACGUUAAAAAGAGCUAAUUUAUUGGGCGUCGUUGGUACCGACGUUCCUGUCGAAGAAAUACAAAAACUGGUACCACCUUACAAGUUGGGAGUCAAUGGAUACUCCUUUAUCGUUGACAAUAACGGUCGUGUCUUGUAUCAUCCGGACCUGCGUCCAUUGCCAGAAAAUUCAGAUUACGAAGAGACACUAAAGCCUACGUACAUAAGCGUAGAUUUAUCGGAAGUUGAACUAGCGGAAUACGACGGACCCUCGCACCCUUUGAAUAAUUCACUUCUUUUAGAUUUGAGGCACGAUAUGAUCGAUCAGAAAGAAGGGGAGAUCGGCUUUAGCGUGAAAAUUCAUUACGAUGACAUGAAAAGAGUGACGAUCAGACGACACAAUUAUUUUUACAAGCCGAUAGAGGGUACACCGUUUUCAUUAGGUUUGGCUUUACCCGAAGGGUAUGGCAUGUUCGAACUCCUUGCCGAACAAGAGAUCAAGCACAUGGCAGUCAAUGCGACCGAAUACUUUAAAGGUAAUAAUUGGAAAGUACAUCCAGAUUGGGUGUAUUGCGAAUAUAAUUCGGCAUCGAGCAAGACGUUCAUUUCCCCGGAGGAACGCAUAAUACACUUUUUAUCGCGUACGAAAAAACCCGCGUGGAAGUGGAUGUCCUUGAGACCAAGGAGUCCAAGCUCGCACCAUAAGCAAGCGAGCAAGCCAGAGAAGGACUCUCAUUACUGUGACAAGGGAUUAAUUCAAUCCUUAAUUUUGGACGCUAUCGUAACGGAUGGGUUUGAUAAAAGAGGAAAUUCGAUGCACAAAGAAGAGAAUACAAACCCUAUUGCCAUACUGAUGGCUCUACUGCACAGCAAAGGCAGGGGUAGAUUUGGGGUUAUCAGAAGUUUUGUCGCAACUAGGAGUGGACUUUUUCGUUGGCACGAACAUCAACAGAGUUAUGAAAAAACAGAGGAGCCUUGGUUUCCCGAACAAUACUCAAGAGCUAUGGAGUCUUCUUGGUAUAAACGUGCAGUCGAUCAACACUCCAUCGAACCGGAAAGUUUCGUUUUCAGCGUUCCAUUCGAUGCUGCCGAAAAACCGAAUCCUCUGGUCACUGCAACGCAUGCUAUUUUUAUUGGUAAAGGACAUAAAGCACCGGCUGCAGUCGUAGGAUUGCAAUUUCAACAUUCCUCUUUGGCAUCCCAUUUCGUUAACAUAACGUCAACUUGUACAGCUGGAACGACUGGCUGUAAGAAAAACUGCGGAUCGGAGGAACUCGAUUGUUAUAUUCUUGACAAUAGCGGAUUUGUCGUUAUAAGCGAAAGGCACGAACAUACUGGGAAAUUUUUUGGCGAGAUAGAUGGUACCAUAAUGGAUUCCUUGGUACAGGAUAGGAUCUACAGGAAAGUAACCGUGAUCGAUUAUCAAGGGACUUGUAGUCCUCAAGAAAGUCAUCGUUCUUCGGCACCAAGAACUACAUCAGCUUCCAUCUUGAAAGGCACCGCACUUCUUGGAAAUUUCAUUUGGAAUCUCUUUUUGAGUUUCAACGUUCAAGACAUUUGGCGUACGGUAGUGGCUUUUGCCAAAGACGCUGCUCAUUCCAUGCAAAACGAUGACGAUCUGAUAUUAUCCGACACCGAGAUCGAAAUUGAUUCGAAUAUCGAUGAUACCGAUGAACUAAGCAGCGAACUGAAUAAUCUCGAAUCGAUAGCACCCGCGGAAUCGACCGCGGAAUCGGUUGUUCCAGGAAAAGAAGAUUUUUCGGAAAUACCAGUAGCAGCUGCGAUACCCGUUUCACCGCCUACUACUCGUGCCACCUCUGCCCACUUUCCACCGCGCAAAUUAAGAUCUUGCGAAAAGAAGACGGAUCUUUAUAUUUUGCAACCCGAAAGAUUAAAUACCAGCGGACAAAGUAAUCCGCUCAAAGGGAAAUUAACGAAUUGUCAUGUUACGGGUUGCGAAAGGCCUUUCAGCGUGCAAAAAAUACGUCACACGAAUUUAAUCCUCCUCGUGGUAGACACGUUGUGUCCAUGCGGUAACAAACAACUCAGUAUCGAGCCCAUAGAAGCUAUGACGGAACCAGGUGCUUGCACGGCGAGAAGAGAACGACUUUACCGAAGAAGGCCGCCAAAAUGUAUUAAUUAUCAUCCAGAAGAGAUGGAAAUCAAGAUUUGCGGUGGCGCAACCCUGACGCAACUUGCUCGAUCGACGCAAAUCGUAUUCUUAUUAACGACCAUCUUGCUCGUCAGGUUGGCGUGACUCUCCAAUUAAAGCACACGCGCACGCUAAUUCACAAAUAUCAAUGAACAAAAUGAUGAACAAAUUGUCUAAGCGAGUCAUUAUUAUUAUAUGAGCGGUCUAC